rnacentral:lncRNA from 10 species
GCCAACUUUCCUCUCUACUCCUUUCUGUAUAUUCAUCAGUGAGAGAGCUGCUAAUGACUCAGAGCUAUACCAAGAAAAAGAAAAUGGAAAGAAACCAGAAGGAUAGGAAUGGCCAUCUUCUCAGAGAUCCUACCUCCCUGGCCGUAGUGACAGCUCAGCAAUGGCUGUUUUCCAGAGUCACAGCAGUUCGAGCUCUUGGGAUUUUGGCAAAAGCAUG